rnacentral:miRNA from 12 species
GCGGGAAAAGUUCGCAUUUUGAC